rnacentral:rRNA from 1 species
UACGGAGGAGGCAAGCGUUAUCCGGAAUUAUUGGGCGUAAAGCGUCCGCAGGUGGCACUUCAAGUCUGUCGUCAAAGACCGGGGCUUAACUUCGGAAAGGCAGUGGAAACUGAACAGCUAGAGUAUGGUAGGGGCAGAGGGAAUUCCUGGUGUAGCGGUGAAAUGCGUAGAGAUCAGGAAGAACAUCGGUGGCGAAGGCGCUCUGCUGGACCAUAACUGACACUCAGGGACGAAAGCUAGGGGAGCGAAUGGG